rnacentral:rRNA from 1 species
UACGUAGGUGGCAAGCGUUGUCCGGAUUUACUGGGCGUAAAGAGCGCGCAGGCGGCCGAGUAAGUCGAAUGUGAAAGCCCCCGGCUCAACUGGGGAAGGUCAUUCGAUACUGUUCGGCUUGAAGAUAGGAGAGGGAAGCGGAAUUUCAGGUGUAGUGGUGAAAUGCGUAGAUAUCUGAAGGAACACCAGUGGCGAAGGCG